GGAUAAAGAACAUGUUAUUCAAAGAUCUCUUAUUAGUAACUUAAAUUCUAUGUCCUUACAUAAUGCUCAUAUUUUGUGUAAUAGCUUUUGCUGUCUGGACACUUAUUUCUUGUGGAAUCAAGAGGUUAUUUAACUUUUUUUUUUUUUUUUGGCCAGUCCUGGGC